UCCACACAACACCAGCACGGAGCUGGGAGGCCAUGUGGUGUAGGUCACUGCCUGCCCAGGAGACGUCCCUCUCAGAAGUGCUCAGCAGCCUGGUACCCGGCUCAGAGUACAGGAUGCUCAGCCUUGAAAUCAGCCCAGGCUUCCCCGCACAGUCCACCGGACUCAUCCUCCAGGGCACAUGGCAAGGGUGGGCCGGGGCCACGGUCCUGACUGCAUCUCAAAGCCAGCAUAAGGCCAUGUGGCUGGAAACCACUGUCCCUACGGCUCAGUGUCUCUCCAGGGCAAACACCCCCAGCUGGAGCGGGGGGACAGAGAGGGCCGGGGCCUCAAUGGGACCUGGGACAGCACCACGGUUUGGAGAGCUGGCUUGCCGGGCUGCGGGAGCCUGUGUGUGAAAAGGGCGCAUUGGAAGAUCCCAUGUGUUCUGCAUCUGCGUCUCUGUGUGCCCCUGUGUGCAUCUCCACGUCUCCGGGUGUAUUCACUCUCGUGUGAGUGCCUGAGUGUGUCCUUGUGUGUGGAACCCCACACGGGCCUGUGGCCUGGGGAGGUGUGUGUGUCCGUGUGUCACUGUGUGCGUCUCCAUGUUUCUGUGUGUGUUCCCAUGCGAGGGCAUGUCCCUGUGUGUCAGGCCUGUGUGUGUCCUGGUGCAAGUAACCCUGUGUGGGUGUCAUCCCCGUGUGUGCUGCAGGGCGGGGCAGUGGGAGAGCAGGCCCCCCACUGGCAGGGCAACACUUCCUUUGUGGAGCCCCCCCCAUCCCAGGUGGGUAACAUCAGCUGGAAGAAAUGCCAACUGCCUUCUUGAACAAUUGAAAUCAUCAUCCCCCCAGGAGCCCCCAGAAAGCAAGGGCAGCCUGCACCUUCACUAUCCCAAGCCCAUCCUUCUGAGCCCACCCUUCUCUGUGACGAUGAUGUUGGCUAUACUCCUCCAUUUCUUGGAGCCUCUGUUUCCUUAAACAUGAUGGGGUGAGAAAGACUGGUCUGGUGGCAUGUUCUGAGGAUUAAAUGAAACUGUGACCUGCAGGGCCUCACGCGGGGCCGUCACCCUUUGCCAUGCCCUCUGCAGGUGGGAGCGUGAGUCACAGCUUCCCGUGAAUCACAGCACUCACUCCUCACGAGGACUCUACAAGGCAGACACCAUCACCUCCAUUUCUACAGACAAGGAAACUGAGGCCCUGUGAGGUCACAUGUGUGCCCUCUGUCUUCUGAGGAGGGGGUCGCGUCAUGCUGGUAGGCAUGAGGAGGGGUACCUCCUUCCUAUGGGGACAUCCCUCUGGCCAGCCACCUCCUCCAGCUGUCGCCAGUGCAGCAUCACCCGCCUCCCAGGGUACAGCCUAUCCAGGGCCUUCCUGGGAAAGCCAGCCUGGAAGAAGCACACUGUUAGGGCUGAAAAUUUCUGCCCGCCCUAACUGAUGUCCUAACUCCUGUGGGAUGGUAUCUGGAGGUGGGGACUUUGAGAGGUAAGGAGGAGCAGAUGAGGUCAUGAGGGUGGAACCCAUGUAAUGGGAUUAGAAGAGGAAGAAAGAGAGGUCCUUUUCUCUCUCCAUGUCCACUCCCAGGCAGGCCAUGUGAGGGCACAAUGGGAGGGCGGCCGUGCUUCUCGCUGUCCUCAUCAGAAUCUGACCGUGCUGGCACCCUGGCCCUGGAUCUCCAGGCUCCAGAACUGUGAGAGGUAAAGGUCUGUGUGUGGGCCUCCCAGAAGUCUGUACUUAACAAAGCAGCUCAAACCGACUACAACAUGCCACAGGAACCAGAGACCACGGUUCCAUGGAGAUGCUGGAACACUGCCCCAAGUACAAGAACUGCAGUUUGAUCAUCAACAAAUCAGCAGUGCCUUGACUGGUGGGACCAGGAAAAGUUGCCAAAGAACCCCACGCAGCAGCUAAGGAAGUGGAGGCAGAACAGGGCCCAGAACCCUCCCAUGCAGCAGGCUCCGGCUCCACCACUUCCUGGAAAAGGAACAGCUCAGAGGUUCUCUGGUGACCUGCCUGAGGACACCUGGACCCCAGAGGCACACGAGCCCCACUGCAAUGGGAGCAGCCCCCUGGCCAACCUCAGCCGCCUGUACUUCUCCGUGAUGACAGUGAGCGUGGCCCAUCCCAGGCAUGGACGCUUAGGUGUGUUCUGAGACAUGUGAGGUAUGUUUCCUCAUGAGACUCCCACGACCAGCGUAAGGCACAUAUUGCUACUUUCAUUUUGCAGACGGGGAAACUGAGGCUCUGAGAACAAAGCUGCGGGGGCUUAUUCUUUGCAAUUGUAACUAUUUACAACACCCUAACAACUGAAAGAAAGAACUGACUGAUAAUUCCUGAUACCACUUUCCCAGCAACUCUGGACUCAAUCCCCGUCCAGCCACUUAGAACCUGUGCUCUGCACAGCUUACUUCAAGACUAAACUUGUCAUUGGCAAAAACCGAAAAUAAAUCGUCUUUACAGCCGGGUGCAGUAGCUCACGCCUGUAAUCCCAGCACUUUGGGAGGUCAAGGCAGGCUGAUCACUUGAGGUCAGGAGUUCAAGACCAGCCCGAAUAAUAUAGAAAAACCCUCUCUCUAUUAAAAACACAAAAAUUAGCUGGGUGUGGUGGCAUACGCCUGUAAUCCCAGCUAGAGAAGCUGAGGCAGGAGAGUCACUUGAACCUGGAGGUGGAGGUUGCAGUGAACUGAGAUCCUGCCACUGCACUCCAGCCUGGGCCACAAGAGCAAAAGUCCAAUUCAAAAAAAAAAAAAAGUCCUCCUUACAAGGCCACUGGGGACAACAUGAUGACAUUUAAGUCAGUUUAAGCAGCACCUUGUUGCUACUGUUGUUGCAAACUGGUUCUGACCGUGUCCUUCCCUGCCCUCCCUGAGCUGUUCUUUCCCUGUCCCACCCUCUUUGAAGAGUAGAACAGGGAAGGCACCAAGGGGUGACCCAAGUGGGCACUGUGUCUGCUUUUCCACACGCCACCUCUAAGGGCAGCAGCACCCCCACGAGGGCACACAGAGGCUCCAGCAGAACUCACUUUCCAGAGAGUUCUUGGUCGUAGGAUCCUUGGCAUCUUUGUUGCUUCUGGCUCUCAGGUUCUGCAGGGAGAAAAGCGCAUGUUCACAGAGAUGAUAGAAGCAGCUUCGAUGCGGCAGAAAGUUCCACCUUUGGCAGCAAUCUCGGCUUUCCCUCACUGCAAUGAACCCAGGCGCAUUCUGAGCUGAUAAUGAAAUCACAGGGUGUGCAGGGACCCACGGGCAAGCUGAGCACGCAGGAUGCCCUGGAGGCCACGGUCCACCUGGGACAGGCCUUCUCAGCCAAGGACUGUUGACAUUUUGGGCUGGAGAUUCUCUGAGCAGCUGUCCUGUGCACCGUAGGGUGCUAAGCGGCUGCCCUGGCCUCUACCUAUAGGCACAGGAGCGCGCCUGCCUUCCCACUGUUGUGACAACCAAAAGCUUCUCCAGGCAUUGCCAAGUGUCUGUCCCCUGUGAACGAAAUCACGCCUGGCUGAGAACCUCUUUCACAGAGAAUCUGGCAAAUGGAGGCCAACAGGAGCCCGCUCCUAAACACACAUCACUGUUUUCUUGGGGCAAUUAGAUGGCAUGCAGGGGGCUGGCAGUUCGGAAGAGCAGUCGCCUUUGGAGACGGCCAGGGCAGGCCCACCACUGCAGACGGACACGGGAUUCUCCCUCUACCCACCCUCUCUGGAUUUGCAAGUGUACUUGCUAAAAAAAUGAGGUGCUAAUGAGAUUUCCAGGGCAAGAGCAGGUCUUGUAAGUGAAGAGCCUAGCAUGUUUUGAUACAAGUGCAUUGAACGCAUCACUGGAGAAAUUCGGUAUAAAAGAUCCCUGUGUGCCUCAGAUCCGCUGGGAAGGAGCUGAGAUUAAUUCCUGGUACUAAGCUUCUGAACAAAGGCAUAAGCCGCAGAGACGGAAUAGAUUCUGAGGUUACUCUGCCAACCUCUUGUGCUGUAGAAAACAUCUCAAGACCAAAAAGAAAGUCUUUUCCAGCUCGCUGGGGCCAAAGGCUGCCAUGCGCUUUGGUACCUUUCCUGAGAGUUUAACAGCCCUCGCAGUGAUUGUUCCUCUGUACAUCUGACUCGGCAGUUACCAAAGACUGCAAAAACCAGGUGCUGGGCUCACAUGAGCCUGGGAGGCGGCCCACGUGCCUUGGAAAGUGCGAUGCUUGGGAGUUAUCCGCAAGUUCUGGGAACACCUGCCUCAAGAAAAUGUAUGAGUUGGCCGGGCACGGUGGCUCACGCCUAUAAUCCUAGCACUCUGGAAGGCCGAGGUGGGUGGAUCACCUGAGGUCAGGAGUUCAAGACCAGCCUAGCCAUCAUGGUGAAACCCCAUCUUAAAAAAAAAAAAGAAAAGAAAACAUGUGAGCUUGGCUUAACCCUGCAUCUCCCAAACCGGCCUGACUCCCAAAGCCCUUUUCAUAUAAUUCCUAUUACCUACUGUCUGGAGAGCUGGCGUUCCAUGAAACCAGAUCUAACUGGAUGCUGCCCAUCUCUCAGGACUGUCCCAGGAGAAGAUGGACACUAUUCCACUCCUUCCUAUACUAGAAGGUGAUCGUCAAAGUCCCAUGCCUGAGCACUGACCCCCUCCCACUUCCAUAGGGCUUGCUACUUUCUCUUCCUUGAGUUUGACUCUGCUCUCUCUGGGUGACUCCAAUUUCUCUGGAUCUUUUCUGAAACACAGACAACCAAAGUGCAUGUCACUGUGACGAUGCAAGUGCCACAAACCUUCACAGUGGGCUGGCUUGUGGCUGACCCUGAGCCCCAUCCCGCUUCCUGCAUCCCAGCCACAGCUCAGAAUCCACUGGUACAUAGCUGGUGAGACCACGUGAUCCCCAGGUGGCGUCCCAUGGUGUCUCCUCCCUCCUCUGCAGAAACCUGUCCAGGUGGACUUGAACUUGCCCGUCUAACUAUAACUUGCUCUUAAAAGCUCAGGUCCCUGAUUUGUCAAGGUCACACUUGAAAUUCGGUGUCACCAUUCCAGCUGCUGGGGAGGACAGUUGCUCAUUUAAAGAAAAAGGAAGAGAGAACAGAUUGAAUGGUCCAGAGGGAGUCUGGCAGCAGGGAGGGAAGCUGGCGCCCCGGAUGCAUACAGAGCCUGUUACCAGCAGCACCCGGUGGAGCGGGGCGCCCCACGGGCUCUGGAGGAACAGGGUGGCAGGUACUGCUACUACUGGAAACAUCAGAGUGGGGACCAUGAUGCGCCGUCCUGUGAUGAACAGUACGAUGGCAAAAGCCCAGGGGUGACAGCUGAGGGUGUGUCUCAGCAAGGGUGACUGCAUUCAUUCCCUACUUCUAGUGCCCAUGUCUCUUUCUAGCCCUGUGGUUCUCCAAUUGUGCUCUAUGCUAGAACUGCAGGGUUAGAAAGAGACAUGGGCACUAAAAGUAGGGCAUGAAUGCAGAACCCCUACUUUCUGCUCAUAACCCUUGCUGGGUGGGGGAAAGCCAAGUCAGAAGGCAAAGCUACAGCGAGUUGGUGGGAUCAUCAAGAGGCAAAGGCCCCUGAAGAGGAAAAUGUCGCAGAGUGACCACCAGGCAGACACAGGGUGGGGAAGGGCAGGAAGAACCCCAGUCUGGAGAGUGCAGACCCAGGGAUGUGGCUGGGUUCUGGUCCUGGCUUGGCCACCAGCCUCCUGAAUAGCCCAUUCAUGGUCUCUGUUUCUGAAUGACUCUUUUGAGGCCCAGGGUGCUAACACUGCAUGGUUUGAGGUUUCAGCUUCCUGGGGCUAAACGCAGGCAGGGAGUCAGUAGCCUCUCAAACGUGGGGCCUGAGGCAGGCAGUGCAGCUCCAACCUGCUGCUUUGCUCCUCACAUGGGUCUAGAGAGCACGGGUGACAUGAGCCCUUGCCCCGCGGCAAUAGCCCCUCAAUGCUUCCCGCUCUCAUGGUCUCUGAUGGGCUGGAAAAGGAAGACUGGCCCGUCCAGCUGCCCCUCCAGUGCCAGGUACAAAGUCAGCCUCAGGACUCUUGUGGUGAGAGCUGUUAACGGGCAGAAUUAUAGAUACUCCUCACUGCACACGGUGCAAAGAGUGUCCCCAGAACCCGGCCAACCCCCAGAAUCAGGCCCUAGCCUCUGGGGAGGCAGGACAUCCUGUCAGCCGCUCCACCUGUCUGGGCACAACAGCAUCCCCAGCAUGGGGCAGCAAACCCGGCAGAAUCUGUCAACAGCUGGGGUUCAUGACCAGAUCUUGAUCUGGUGUCCUCUGUUCUCCUGGGGAGGUGGAGGGUACAGGUGGGAGUCAGGGCACGCCUGGCUGAAUGGCAUCAAGGCAUUACCUCAGAGAUUUCUGCAAACUGAACAUUGGCCUGACAGCACUUCUCGGCCAUUUCCAUGGCAACUCCGUAGUUGUCCACGAAGGCCCGGUACACACCCAGCUGGCUGGCCUGCAGGGAAGAAGAGAGAGUCGACAGGUGCUGCAGCUCCCCCGCCUUUCCGAGGAGCGGGCUCCCUCCAACAGCUCAUCAGGAACUCCAGGGGCCUCGGAUCUUCCGUGCUGUUCCCUCCCACCUGCUCCCCUCCCCACGCACCCAGCACACUUCCGGCUCCCAAAAUGACAUGCUGAGAAGUGACUCACGACGCCAGGCAGGUAACAGUUCCCUUCCAGAGCUACUUAUUCCUCCCACCCCACUCGCUGAAAUGGUGCCACGAGUGGCAGCUAGAGUUCGAGGCUGUCAGUGAAUCUGGACAAGUGUCUGCAUGCAGCAUCUUCUCAUUCUGGCUGCAGGAGUGUAUCCUGGACACGGAGAUCACCCCCCCAUCCCACCCACAGUGUCCACUCCUGUCCAGUCCCUUCAGACACAUAAGACACACAGAGUCCAGCUGCCUCUGCAGAAGAGAGCCUCCUGCUACACAGACACGAGCCCUCCUGGGCCUGGUGAGGGUGCCCCAGUGUCAUGCUGCACACCUGGCAGGGGAGAGACUGACUGGCUGUAAGGUGAGAGGUGUUUUGUUUGUUCUCUAUUAAACCAAAGGCUAUAACAGAUCUCCUUCCUGCACCUCCAGCUCAGAAACACACUUGAUUCGGCAACAACUUCCCCUAUGUGUGAGUGCAGCAGACACAGCCAUCUCUGGGCCUCACAACAGCUUUAGGGGCAGCGAGGGAAAACCAGCAAACCCAGGCCUGGGGAGUGGAAGGGCAGACCCAGGAGAUUCACUGGUCAGGGCUGGAGACUCCCCCUGCAGCUGAUUGCAAACUAGAAGCCCGAGGCAUUCACGGCUCCUGGCGUUUGUUUUGCAUCAAACCUAAUUUUAUUUCCACAUGCAUUUGCAUUUAUAUUGAAUUUUAUGUUUCUGCAGAUAACAAUUCCGGAUGCUGGAUAAACCAGGCACCCUUGGUAUUAUCUGAUCUUCUGGCCCUGCUUUCUAUGGGGGCUGUGCGAAGGGUCUUAGAGCGUACAAGGAAAGGGUUGCAGGCGGAAGACACCCACCAGCCCCUGCCACCCUGAGGAGACCUUGUAUCCUCCAAUUCUAGGUUCUUCCUUGUCAGUGCAGUGAUGAGGCCCAGAGCUCUUCCUUUCCCUCCUUCCUCCUCUGCAAGUCACCGAGUAUCUCCCCACCAAACUAAGGGCCGGCUUUAGGCCUUGUCACCACAGUGGUGAAUAAUUCAGACGAGUCACUGCCCUCUGAAGCUGGUGUUCUAACAGGAGAGCACCUGAUAAACACAUGCGUGAACAGACCCGGGUCAUGUGAUGGCAGAUGGUUACAACCAGGAUGGGGACCAAGAGCAAUGGGGCUGCUUUGGAAAAUGUGGUCAGGGCCAGGGACAGCCUCUCAGAAGAGGUGACAGCUGGGCAGGGUCUCAGGGGUCUUGGGAGGAGGACUCCUUUCAGGACUUCUCCUCCCUCCUGCUCCAGGAGCUCACAUCUUCCAGGUGGCUUGUGAGAAGUUCUAAGCAAUUCCUUUCCACAUUUUUCACUAAUCAAAAACACACCUCCGGAUCUGAUGCACUAAGCACACGGCCUCGAUGCUGUGGUGCUAUCGUGCAGAACAUGAAGCUCAGGAAACUGGCAAACCUGAGCGGGUCUGUGUCCUUCAAGAAAUGUCAAGGUCAGCUGGGAAGAGCAGCUUACACUGUAUAAUCCUAGCACUUUGGGGAAUGCUGAGGCAGGCAGAUCACUUGAGGUCAGGAGUGUGAGACCAGCCUGGUCAACAUAGUGAAAUCUCGUCUCUACUGAAAAUACAAAAAUUAGCCAGGUGUGGAGGCGUGCACCUGUAAUCCCAGCUAUGUGGGAGGCUGAGGCAGGAGAAUUGCUUGAAUCCAGGAGGCAGAGGCUGCAGUGAGCCGAGAUCAUGCCACUGCACUCCAGCCUGGGUGAUAGAGUGAGACUCCACCUCCAAAAAAAACAAAGUCAAGGUCACAGAAGACAAGCAAAGUCUAAGGAACUGGUACAGAUGGAAGGAGACUAAAGAGAGGUGACAACCAAGUUCAUAACAUGAUCUUAAACCGGGACCCGAAUCAGAGAAUGAAAAGAGCUGUGAAGAACGCGACUGUUACUUUGGAGGAAAUGUGUAACUAUAUAUUAAAUAAUAGUAGCUCAUCAGUGUGAAAAUUCCCGAAUUUAACAAAUUGUACUGUGGGUUACAGAAGAGAAUGUCCUUGUUCACAGCAAAUAAACAAUGAAGUAUUCAGAGGGGAAAAAAAAUCCUGUGCUUCUGCGUAUGUGUGCAUGUGUGUUUGUGUGUGCACAAAAAGACAUAAAGCAAAUGUGGCAAAAAGUUACAUCAGUGUAUCUGGGUGAAGGCCAUACUUUGUCCCGUUCUUGGAACUCUCCUGUAAGCCUGAAAUAAUUAGAAAAAUAAACAUUCUGAGUUGAUAAAACUGCAGCCAGAAACAAAAUCCGGAGUGGGGAAGUCAGCCCGUGCAGCCCCACGGAGGAGGGGGCAGAAGCCGCAUCUGGGCCUGGCUUUCUGAACCACUGGACGUGGAUCAUGAGUUCCUGGGCUUGGAGGCGGCACUGGAGCUGGGCAGGGCACUGUGAGCUCCUUUGGUCCUAAGACUUGUCCAACCAGGAAGCCUGACGGAGCAGUGCUGGGCCAACCCUACUGAGCUGGUCUGCAGGGACAAGGGCAGGCACCCGGCUUAUCUGUUCUUGCAGAGGCCCCAACACCCAGCCCAGGUUGGGCACAUGUGAGUACUGAGCUUGUAGUUAUGGGGAGCAACUUCCCACUGCAGCCCCAGCCUCUCCCCUGAGUCUUCCAGCUGCGUCAUCUGCCACAUGAAGGCUACGGAGCUCAAGGCCUCAGGGAAGCCGGCAGAAACUUUCCAAAGUUAAAUUCCAGUGUUCAUCAGAUAUUAACAUUUUUUAAAAGUCUCUGAACAAUUUCGAAUAUUAUUCAGGAAGAGCUCUGGAUGUUUUUCUUCCCCCAAUACCACAAUUCUUCCUUUCUCAGGAGGGUAGAAGGCCAAGUUAUGUCCACUACUUUUAAAACUGCUGACACACACAGGGAGAAAUGGGGGGCUUCAAAGACGGAGCGGGCAGCAUGCAUCAAAAUACAGCCUCCUGCUCUCUGGCCGUAGGGGAAAGAGCCCCAAGCAGCAAGAACUGGAACAAAGUAAGUGCCUUGUGUGUUUCUCAAGUCUUAGCUCUG